AGCAGCCGCGGUAAUUCCAGCUCCAAUAGCGUAUAUUAAAGUUGUUGCAGUUAAAAGCUCGUAGUUGAAUUUCGGGGUUAGUAGGUUGGUCAUGCCUCUGGUAUGUACUGGUCUCACUGAUUCCUCCUUCCUGAUGAGCCGUGAUGCCAUUAAUUUGGUGUUGCGGGGAAUUUGGACUGUUACUUUGAAAAAUUAGAGUGUUUAAAGCAAGCUAACGCUUGAAUACAUUAGCAUGGAAUAAUGAAAUAGGACGUUCGAUCCUAUUUUGUUGGUUUCUAGGAUUGACGUAAUGAUUAAUAGGGAUAGUUGGGGGCAUUAGUAUUCAAUUGUCAGAGGUGAAAUUCUUGGAUUUAUUGAAGACUAACUACUGCGAAAGCAUUUGCCAAGGAUGUUUUCAUUAAUCAAGAACGAAAGUUAGGGGAUCGAAGACGAUCAGAUACCGUCGUAGUCUUAACCAUAAACUAUGCCGACUAGGGAUCGGAUGAUGUUAAUUUUUAAUGACUCAUUCGCG
rnacentral:rRNA from 1 species